ACGGAAGGCAGCAGUGGGGAAUAUUGCACAAUGGGCGAAAGCCUGAUGCAGCGACGCCGCGUGAACGAAGAAGUAUUUCGGUAUGUAAAGUUCUAUCAGCAGGGAAGAUAAUGACGGUACCUGACUAAGAAGCACCGGCUAAAUACGUGCCAGCAGCCGCGGUAAUACGUAUGGUGCAAGCGUUAUCCGGAUUUACUGGGUGUAAAGGGAGCGUAGGCGGUAUGCUAAGUCUGAUGUGAAAGCCCGAGGCUCAACCUCGGUAUUGCAUUGGAAACUGGUAAACUAGAGUGUCGGAGGGGUAAGUGGAAUUCCUAGUGUAGCGGUGAAAUGCGUAGAUAUUAGGAGGAACACCAGUGGCGAAGGCGGCUUACUGGACGAUAACUGACGCUGAGGCUCGAAAGCGUGGGGAGCAAACAGGAUUAGAUACCCUGGUA
rnacentral:rRNA from 1 species